AUUGAACGCUGGCGGCAGGCCUAACACAUGCAAGUCGAACGAGUGGCGGACGGGUGAGUAAUGUCUGGGAAACUGCCUGAUGGAGGGGGAUAACUUCCGUAAACGGUCGCUAAUACCGCUUACUAUCGGAUGUGCCCAGAUGGGAUUAGCUAGUGGGUGGGGUAAAGGCUUACCUAGGCGACGAUCCCUAGCGGGUCUGAGAGGAUGACCAGCCACACUGGAACUGAGACACGGUCCAGACGCCUACGGGAGGCAGCAGUGGGGAAUAUGGGACAAUGGGCGCAAGCCUGAUGCAGCCAUGCCGCGUGUAUGAAGAAGGCCUUCGGGUUGUAAAGUACUUUCAGCGGGGAGGCGUUACCCGCAGAAGAAGCACCGGCUAACUCCGUGCCAGCAGCCGCGGUAAUUC
rnacentral:rRNA from 1 species